AGUAAUAUAUCGGAACGUACCCAGGAGUGGGGAUAACGUAGCGAAGUUACGCUAAUACCGCAUACGAUCCAUGGAUGAAAGCAGGGGACCGCAAGGCCUUGCGCUCAUGGAGCGGCCGAUAUCUGAUUAGCUAGUUGGUAGGGUAAAGGCCUACCAAGGCGACGAUCAGUAGCUGGUCUGAGAGGACGACCAGCCACACUGGGACUGAGACACGGCCCAG
rnacentral:rRNA from 1 species